AGAGUUUGAUCCUGGCUCAGGAUGAACGCUAGCGACAGGCCUAACACNUGCAAGUCGAGGGGCAGCGAGGAUUAGCAAUAAUUUGUCGGCGACCGGCGCACGGGUGAGUAACACGUAUGCAACCUACCUUCAACACGGGGAUAACCCGUUGAAAGACGGACUAAUAUCCGAUAAUACAGGGGCACCGCUUGGUGAUAUUUGUUAAAGAUUAAUCGGUUGAAGAUGGGCAUGCGUAUGAUUAGCUAGUUGGCGGGGUAACGGCCCACCAAGGCAACGAUCAUUAGGGGUUCUGAGAGGAAGGUCCCCCACAAUGGUACUGAGCCAGGAUCAAACUCUAAGGGCGAAUUCA
rnacentral:rRNA from 1 species